rnacentral:rRNA from 1 species
CAGUAGCCGCGGGAAUACGUAGGUGGCAAGCGUUGUCCGGAAUUAUUGGGCGUAAAGGGCUCGCAGGCGGUUUCUUAAGUCUGAUGUGAAAGCCCCCGGCUCAACCGGGGAGGGUCAUUGGAAACUGGGAAACUUGAGUGCAGAAGAGGAGAGCGGAAUUCCACGUGUAGCGGUGAAAUGCGUAGAGAUGUGGAGGAACACCAGUGGCGAAGGCGACUCUCUGGUCUGUAACUGACGCUGAGGAGCGAAAGCGUGGGGAGCGAACAGGAUUAGAUACCCCCGUAGUCCCUGUCUCUUAUAC